rnacentral:rRNA from 1 species
UACGGAGGAUGCGAGCGUUAUCCGGAUUUAUUGGGUUUAAAGGGUGCGUAGGCGGUCCGGAAAGUCAGCGGUAAAAGCCCGGGGCUCAACCCCGGCGAGCCGUUGAAACUGUCGGACUAGAGACGGUGAGAAGUAAGCGGAAUGCGUGGUGUAGCGGUGAAAUGCAUAGAUAUCACGCAGAACGCCGAUUGCGAAGGCAGCUUACCGGCGCUCAACUGACGCUGAGGCACGAAAGUGCGGGUAUCGAACAGG